UACGAAGGGGGCUAGCGUUGCUCGGAAUCACUGGGCGUAAAGCGCACGUAGGCGGAUCUUUAAGUCAGGGGUGAAAUCCCAAGGCUCAACCUUGGAACUGCCUUUGAUACUGGGGAUCUCGAGUCCGGAAGAGGUUGGUGGAACUGCGAGUGUAGAGGUGAAAUUCGUAGAUAUUCGCAAGAACACCAGUGGCGAAGGCGGCCAACUGGUCCGGUACUGACGCUGAGGUGCGAAAGCUAGGGGAGCAAACAGG
rnacentral:rRNA from 1 species